AAUUGACGGGGACCCGCACAAGCGGUGGAUGAUGUGGAUUAAUUCGAUGCAACGCGAAAACCUUACCACCUUUGACAUGUACGGAAUCCUUUAGAGAUAGAGGAGUGCUCGAAAGAGAGCCGUAACACAGGUGCUGCAUGGCUGUCGUCAGCUCGUGUCGUGAGAUGUUGGGUUAAGUCCCGCAACGAGCGCAACCCUUGUCAUUAGUUGCUACAUUCAGUUGGGCACUCUAAUGAGACUGCCGGUGACAAACCGGAGGAAGGUGGGGAUGACGUCAAGUCCUCAUGGCCCUUAUAGGUGGGGCUACACACGUCAUACAAUGGAUGGUACAAAGGGUCGCCAACCCGCGAGGGGGAGCCAAUCCCAUAAAGCCACUCGUAGUCCGGAUCGCAGUCUGCAACUCGACUGCGUGAAGUCGGAAUCGCUAGUAAUCGUGGAUCAGAAUGUCACGGUGAAUACGUUCCCGGGUCUU
rnacentral:rRNA from 1 species